rnacentral:rRNA from 1 species
CAGUCGACGAACCUUCGGGUUAGUGGCGGACGGGUGAGUAACGCGUGAGAAUCUGCCCUCAGGAGGGGGAUAACGGCUGGAAACGGCCGCUAAUACCCCAUAUGCCGAGAGGUGAAAUGAAUUUCGCCUGAGGAUGAGCUCGCGUCUGAUUAGCUAGUUGGUGUGGUAAUGGCUCACCAAGGCUUCGAUCAGUAGCUGGUCUGAGAGGAUGAUCAGCCACACUGGGACUGAGACACGGCCCAGACUCCUACGGGAGGCAGCAGUGGGGAAUUUUCCGCAAUGGGCGAAAGCUUGACGGAGCAACGCCGCGUGAGGGAUGAAGGCCUCUGGGCUGUAAACCUCUUUUAUCAAGGAAGAAGAUCUGACGGUACUUGAUGAAUAAGCCACGGCUAAUUCCGUGCCAGCAGCCGCGGUAAUACGGGAGUGGCAAGCGUUAUCCGGAAUUAUUGGGCGUAAAGCGUCCGCAGGCGGUUUUACAAGUCUGUCGUUAAAACGUGGAGCUUAACUCCAUUUCAGCGAUGGAAACUGUAGAACUAGAGUGUGGUAGGGGCAGAGGGAAUUCCCGGUGUAGCGGUGAAAUGCGUAGAUAUCGGGAAGAACACCAGUGGCGAAGGCGCUCUGCUGGGCCAUAACUGACGCUCAUGGACGAAAGCCAGGGGAGCGAAAGGGAUUAGAUACCCCUGUAGUCCUGGCCGUAAACGAUGAACACUAGGUGUCGGGGGAAUCGACCCCCUCGGUGUCGUAGCCCACGCGUUAAGUGUUCCGCCUGGGGAGUACGCACGCAAGUGUGAAACUCAAAGGAAUUGACGG